rnacentral:misc_RNA from 1 species
GAUGAAGAACGCAGCGAAAUGCGAUAAGUAAUGUGAAUUGCAGAAUUCAGUGAAUCAUCGAAUCUUUGAACGCACAUUGCGCCCGCCAGCAUUCUGGCGGGCAUGCCUGUUCGAGCGUCAUUUCAACCCUCGACUUCCCUUUGGGGAAAUCGGCGUUGGGGACCGGCCGUAUACCGCCGGCCCCGAAAUGAAGUGGCGGCCCGUCCGCGGCGACCUCUGCGUAGUAAUCCAACUCGCACCGGAACCCCGACGUGGCCACGCCGUAAAACCCCCGACUUCUGAACGUUGACCUCGGAUCAGGUAGGAAUACCCGCUGAACCUAAGCAUAUCAAUAAGCGGAGGA